UGUUUCAAAUAUUUUGUCGGUUGUGGA
rnacentral:sRNA from 1 species